AUUGAACGCUGGCGGCAUGCUUUACACAUGCAAGUCGAACGGUAACAGGCCGCAAGGUGCUGACGCGUGGCGGACGGGUGAGUAAUUCAUCCGAACGUACCCAGUCGUGGGCGAUAACUACUCGUCAGAAUAGCUAAUACCGCAUCCGAUCUAUGGAUGUACGCCGGGGACCGUGAUGCCUCGCGCGAUUGGAGGGGCCGAUGUGCGAUGAGGUUGUUGGUGGGGUAAAGGCUCACCAAGACAACGAUCUGUACCUGGUCUGAGAGGAGGACCAGCGACACUGGAGCUGAGACACGGCCCAGACGCCUACGGGAGGCAGCAGUGGGGAAUGUUGGACAAUGGGCGCAAGCCUGAUCCAGCAAUGCCGCGUGCAGGAAGAAGGCGUUCGGGUUGUAAACUGCUUUUGUACGGAACGAAACGGCUCUGGUUAAUACCCGGGGCUAAUGACGGUACCGGAAGAAUAAGCACCGGCUAACUACGUG
rnacentral:rRNA from 1 species